UGGGGAAUUUUGGACAAUGGGCGAAAGCCUGAUCCAGCAAUGCCGCGUGUGUGAAGAAGGCCUUCGGGUUGUAAAGCACUUUUGUCCGGAAAGAAAUCCUUGGCUCUAAUACAGUCGGGGGAUGACGGUACCGGAAGAAUAAGCACCGGCUAACUACGUGCCAGCAGCCGCGGUAAUACGUAGGGUGCAAGCGCUAAUCGGAAUUACUGGGCGUAAAGCGUGCGCAGGCGGUUUGCUAAGACCGAUGUGAAAUCCCCGGGCUCAACCUGGGAACUGCAUUGGUGACUGGCAGGCUAGAGUAUGGCAGAGGGGGGUAGAAUUCCACGUGUAGCAGUGAAAUGCGUAGAGAUGUGGAGGAAUACCGAUGGCGAAGGCAGCCCCCUGGGCCAAUACUGACGCUCAUGCACGAAAAGCGUGGGGAGCAAAACAGGAUUAGAUACCCCUGGUAGUCCACGCCCUAAAACGAUGUCAACUAGUUGUUGGGGAUUCAUUUCCUUAGUAACGUAGCUAACGCGUGAAGUUGACCGCCUGGGGGAGUACGGUCGCAAGAUUAAAACUCAAAUGAAUUGACGGGGUCAUAGCUGUUUCCU
rnacentral:rRNA from 1 species